rnacentral:rRNA from 1 species
AUUGAACGCUGGCGGCAUGCCUUACACAUGCAAGUCGAACGGCAGCACGGGAGCAAUCCUGGUGGCGAGUGGCGAACGGGUGAGUAAUGUAUCGGAACGUGCCCAGUCGUGGGGGAUGACGUAGCGAAAGUUACGCUAAUACCGCAUACGAUCUAUGGAUGAAAGCGGGGGAUCGCAAGACCUCGCGCGAUUGGAGCGGCCGAUAUCAGAUCAGGUAGUGGGUGGGGUAAAGGCUCACCAAGCCGACGAUCUGUAGCUGGUCUGAGAGGACGACCAGCCACACUGGGACUGAGACACGGCCCAGACUCCUACGGGAGGCAGCAGUGGGGAAUUUUGGACAAUGGGCGAAAGCCUGAUCCAGCCAUGCCGCGUGCAGGAUGAAGGCCUUCGGGUUGUAAACUGCUUUUGUACGGAACGAAAAGGUUUGGCCUAAUAAGCUGAGCUCAUGACGGUACCGUAAGAAUAAGCACCGGCUAACUACGUGCCAGCCGCCGCCGUAA